rnacentral:piRNA from 1 species
UUCAGGUGGACUUCACAAAGAAUCU